UGCAAGUCGAACGCGCAGUUCUCUGUAGCAAUACAGGGGAUGGGUGCGUGGCGAACGGGUGCGUAACACGUGGAUAACCUUCCUUCAGGUGGGGAAUAACCCCGCGAAAGCGGGGCUAAUACCGCAUAACAUGACGAUGGCACAUGCCGUUGUCCUCAAAGCCGCAAGGCGCCAGAAGAGGGAUCCGCGGCCGAUUAGCUUGUUGGCGAGGUAAUGGCUCACCAAGGCAAUGAUCGGUAGCCGGUCUGAGAGGAUGAUCGGCCACACUGGAACUGAGACACGGUCCAGACUCCUACGGGAGGCAGCAGUGGGGAAUCUUGCGCAAUGGGCGAAAGCCUGACGCAGCAACGCCGCGUGGGGGAUGAAGCUUCUCGGAGUGUAAACCCCUUUCGACCCGGACGAAUGCCCGCAAGGGUUUGACGGUACGGGUAUAAGAAGCCCCGGCUAACUACGUGCCAGCAGCCGCGGUAAAACGUAGGGGGCCAGCGUUGCUCGGAAUUACUGGGCGUAAAGGGUCCGUAGGCGGUGUGGCAAGUCGGAAGUGAAAUCUCUGGGCUUAACUCAGAGGCUGCUCCCGAAACUGCUGUGCUAGAGUGCGAGAGAGGCGAGUGGAAUUGCGGGUGUAGCGGUGAAAUGCGUAGAUAUCCGCAGGAACAUCCGAGGCGAAAGCGGCUCGCUGGAUCGCAACUGACGCUGAGGGACGAAAGCUAGGGGAGCAAACAGGAUUAGAUACCCUGGUAGUCCUAGCCCUAAACCAUCA
rnacentral:rRNA from 1 species